rnacentral:rRNA from 1 species
UAUCUACAGGCUUAACACAUGCAAGUCGAGGGGCAGCAUGGUCUUAGCUUGCUAAGGCCGAUGGCGACCGGCGCACGGGUGAGUAACACGUAUCCAACCUGCCGUCUACUCUUGGACAGCCUUCUGAAAGGAAGAUUAAUACAAGAUGGCAUCAUGAGUCCGCAUGUUCACAUGAUUAAAGGUAUUCCGGUAGACGAUGGGGAUGCGUUCCAUUAGAUAGUAGGCGGGGUAACGGCCCACCUAGUCUUCGAUGGAUAGGGGUUCUGAGAGGAAGGUCCCCCACAUUGGAACUGAGACACGGUCCAAACUCCUACGGGAGGCAGCAGUGAGGAAUAUUGGUCAAUGGGCGAGAGCCUGAACCAGCCAAGUAGCGUGAAGGAUGACUGCCCUAUGGGUUGUAAACUUCUUUUAUAAAGGAAUAAAGUCGGGUAUGGAUACCCGUUUGCAUGUACUUUAUGAAUAAGGAUCGGCUAACUCCGUGCCAGCAGCCGCGGUAAUACGGAGGAUCCGAGCGUUAUCCGGAUUUAUUGGGUUUAAAGGGAGCGUAGAUGGAUGUUUAAGUCAGUUGUGAAAGUUUGCGGCUCAACCGUAAAAUUGCAGUUGAUACUGGAUAUCUUGAGUGCAGUUGAGGCAGGCGGAAUUCGUGGUGUAGCGGUGAAAUGCUUAGAUAUCACGAAGAACUCCGAUUGCGAAGGCAGCCUGCUAAGCUGCAACUGACAUUGAGGCUCGAAAGUGUGGGUAUCAAACAGGAUUAGAUACCCUGGUAGUCCACACGGUAAACGAUGAAUACUCGCUGUUUGCGAUAUACUGCAAGCGGCCAAGCGAAAGCGUUAAGUAUUCCACCUGGGGAGUACGCCGGCAACGGUGAAACUCAAAGGAAUUGACGGGGGCCCGCACAAGCGGAGGAACAUGUGGUUUAAUUCGAUGAUACGCGAGGAACCUUACCCGGGCUUAAAUUGCAGAUGAAUUACGGUGAAAGCCGUAAGCCGCAAGGCAUCUGUGAAGGUGCUGCAUGGUUGUCGUCAGCUCGUGCCGUGAGGUGUCGGCUUAAGUGCCAUAACGAGCGCAACCCUUGUUGUCAGUUACUAACAGGUUCCGCUGAGGACUCUGACAAGACUGCCAUCGUAAGAUGUGAGGAAGGUGGGGAUGACGUCAAAUCAGCACGGCCCUUACGUCCGGGGCUACACACGUGUUACAAUGGGGGGUACAGAGGGCCGCUACCACGCGAGUGGAUGCCAAUCCCCAAAACCUCUCUCAGUUCGGACUGGAGUCUGCAACCCGACUCCACGAAGCUGGAUUCGCUAGUAAUCGCGCAUCAGCCACGGCGCGGUGAAUACGUUCCCGGGCCUUGUACACACCGCCCGUCAAGCCAUGGGAGCCGGGGGUACCUGAAGUGCGUAACCGCGAGGAGCGCCCUAGGGUAAAACUGGUGACUGG